rnacentral:lncRNA from 1 species
AAUCACCAAUUUGGAUUAAUUCCCUAUCUAUUGCAAUCGAUGAAUCAGCUGUUAGAAGAAAUCAAAACAUCUCCUCCAAUAGAUGGUCCAUCUAUCGCAACAGUUAAUUCAUAUAUUACAAUUGAUGUAUCAUCUGUUGCACAUACAUACCAUCUAUUGCAAUUGAUGGUAAAUUUGUUGUGACAGUGGGUUAUCUGUUAGGACAGAUACAUGAUCUAUUACAAAAACUUAAUAAUAACAGUUGUUAUUAAGUCUCAAGUAUCAAAAUGUUUCGAAAUGGU